UGUAGUGUUAGAGUACGUGAUGUGAUGGGCCUGGGCCCGUUAGUCUUAGGGUUUGCUUAGGGGUCAAGUAAGCCUUACUUGGCAGUCAAGUAAACCUCUCUAUAUAUGAAGAGGAGAUGUAUCAAUCUAAUCAGGCAAGAAUUAAGAAGGAAAACCCNNNNNNNNNNNNNNNNNNNNNNNNNNNNNNNNNNNNNNNNNNNNNNNNNNNNNNNNNNNNNNNNNNNNNNNNNNNNNNNNNNNNNNNNNNNNNNNNNNNNUACAACAUGUAUAAACCCAAACGCCUUGAUCACCUCAUCAAAGCGCUUAUUCCAACUCCGAGAUGCUUGCCCCAGUCCAUAAAUGGAUCCCUGGAGCUUGCAUACUUUGUCAGCAUUCUCUGGAUCGACAAAACCUUCGGGUUGCAUCAUAUACAACUCUUCCUUAAGAAACCCAUUAAGGAACGCCGUUUUGACAUCCAUCUGCGAGAUAUCAUAAUCGAAAAAUGCAGCUAUUGCUAACAUGAUUCAGACGGACUUAAGCGUCGCUACGGGUGCGAAUGUCUCAUCGUAGUCAACUCCUUGAACUUGUGAAAAACCCUUUGCCACAAGUCGAGCUUUAUAAACGGUCAAAUUACCGUCCGCGUCUGUCUUCUUGUUAAAGAUCCAUUUGUUCUGAAUAGCCUUGCAACCUUCAGGUAAUACUUCCAAAGUCCACACUUUGUUUUCAUACAUAGAUCCUAUCUCGGAUUUCAUGGCCUCUAACCAUCUGUUGUAAUCUGGGCCCACCAUUGCUUCUCCAUAAUUCGCAGGCUCAUUGUUGUCUAACAACAUGAUAGACAAGACAGGAUUCCUGUACCACUCAGGAGUAGUACGCGCUCUUGUCGACCUGCGAGGUCCAAUAGUAACUUAAUCUGAAGCUUCAUGAUCAUCAUCAUUAGCUUCCUCUUGAAGUGGUGUUCCCUCGACAGAAAUUUCUUUCUGCCCUACUUCACCAUCUUGUUGAAGCACAUGUUCCACAACCUCAUCAAGUUCUAUCUUCCUCCCACUCAAUUCUUUCGAGAGGAACUCUUUCUCAAGAAAAGCUCUGUUCUUAGUGACAAACACUUUGCCCUCGGAUCUGAGAUAGAAGGUGUACCCAACUGUCUCUUUUUGGUAACCUAUCAAGACACACUUUUCCGCUUUGGGUUCCAGCUUUUCAGGCUCAAGCUUUUUGACAUAAGCAUCGCAUCCCCAAACUUUAAGAAACGACAACUUUGGCUUCUUGCCAUACCAUAGCUCAUAUGGUGUCGUCUCAACGGAUUUUGGUGGUGCCCUAUUUAAAGUGAAUGCAGUUGUCUCUAAUGCAUAGCCCCAAAACGAUAAUGGCAAAUCGGUAAGAGAUAUCAUAGAUCGCACCAUAUCUAACAAAGUAUGAUUACGAUGUUCGGACACACCAUUACGCUGUGGUGUUCCAGGCGGUGUCAACUAUGAAGCAAUUCCACAUUGUCUUAAGUGAGCACCAAACUCGUACCUCAGAUAUUCACCCCCUCGAUCAGAUCAUAGGAACUUGAUCUUGUUGCUAUUAUGAUUUUCAACUUCACUCUGAAAUUGUUUAAACUUUUCAAAUGCUUCGGACUUGUGCUUCAUCAAAUAGAUAUAGCCAUACCUACUCAAAUCGUCGAUGAAGGUGAGAAAAUAACGAUAUCCGUUGUGCGCCUCCAUGCUCAUUGGUCCGCACACAUCAGUAUGUAUGAUUUCCAACAAGUCACUUGCACGCUCCAUUGUUCGAGAGAACGGAGUCUUAGUCAUCUUUCCCAUGAGGCAUGGUUCGCAUGUUUCAAGUGAUUCAAAAUCAAGUGACUCCAAAAGCCCAUCAGCAUCGAGUUUCUUCAUGCGCUUAACACCAAUACGACCUAAGCAGCAGUGCCACAAGAAAGUGGCGCUAUCAUUGUUAACUCUACAUCUUUUGGUCUCCAUGUUAUGGAUAUGAGUGUCAUCACAAUCAAGAUUCAACAUGAACAAACCCCUCACAUUGGGUGCAUGACCAUAAAACAUAUUACUCAUAUAAAUAGAACAACCAUUAUUCUCUGACUUAAAUGAGUAACUGUCUCGCAGUAAACAAGAUCCAGAUAUAAUGUUCAUGCUCAACGCAAGCACUAAAUAACAAUUACUUAAGUUCAUAACUAAUCCCGAUGGUAACUGAAGUGAGAUCGUGCCGACGGCGAUUACAUCAACCAUCGAACCAUUUCCCACACGCAUCGUCACUUCAUCCUUCGCCAGCCUUCGUUUAUUCCGCAGUUCCUGUUUCGAGUUGCAGAUGUGAGCAAUAGAACCAGUAUCAAAUACCCAGGCACUACUACGAGAGCUGUUUAGGUACACAUCAAUAACAUGUAUAUCACAUAUACCUUGUUUGGCGUUGGCCGCCUUCUUAUCGGUCAAAUACUUGGGGCAGUUGCGCUUCCAGUGACCAGUCCCCUUGCAAUAAUAGCACUCAGUUUCUGGCUUAGGUCCAGCCUUGGGUUUCUUCGUCGGAGGGGAAACAGUUUUGCCACUCUUCUUGGAGUUACCCUCCUUGACUUUGCCAUUCCUCUUGAAACUAGUGGUCUUAUUGACCAUCAACACUUGAUGCUCUUUCUGGAUUUCUGACUCAGCGACUUUCAACAUCGCAAAUAACUCGCCGGGUGACUUAUUCAUCCCUUGCAUGUUAUAGUUCAACAUGAAGCGCUUGUAGCUAGGUAACAGUGAUUAAAGAAUUCUGUCAGUGAUAGCUUCUUGCGGGAGAGCGAUCCCCAGCUCAGCUAGACGGUUUGAGUACCCAGACAUUUUGACCACAUAUUCAUUGACAAACGAAUUCUCCUCCAUUUUGCAAGCAUAGAAUUUAUCAGAGGUCUCAUACCUCUCGAUCCGGGCAUUUUUCUCAAAGAUAAACUUCAACUCCUGGAACAUCUCAUAUGCUCCAUGACGUUCAAAAUGUCGUUGAAGUCCCGGUUCUAAGCCAUACAAAACUGCACAUAGAACUAGUGACUAGUCAUCCUUACGAGCUUGCCAAGCGUUCAAAACAUCUUGGUCAGCCGUAGCGGGUGGUUUAUCUCCUAGCGCUGCAUCAAGAACAUAAUUCUUUUGCCCAGCUUGAAGGAUAAGCCUCAGAUUUCGAGCCCAGUCUACAAAGUUGCUACCAUCAUCUUUCAACUUAGCUUUCUCUAGGAACGUAUUGAAAUUCAGGGUUGCUACUUUGCGAGCCAUUGAUCUACAACAUAAAAUUUUGGAAAGAUUACUUAGACUAUGUUCAAGACAAUUUGAGUUUAGCUAAUCAUAUUACUAAUAAACUCCCACUCAAAUAGACAUCCCUCUAGUUAUUUCAGUGUGGCAUGAUCCAAAUUCACUAACUCAAGUCCGAUCAUCACGUGAGUUGAGUAUAGUUUCAGUGGUGAACAUCUCCAUGUUGAUCAUAUCCACCAUAUGAUUCAUGCUCGACCUUUCAGUCUCUUGUGUUCCGAGGCCAUGUCUGUACAUGCUAGGAUCGUCAAGUUUAACCUGCGUGUUCCGCGUGUGCAACUGUUUUGCACCCGUUGUAUGUGAACAUUGAGUCUAUCACACCCGAUCAUCAUGUGGUGUCUCGAAACGACGAACUGUCACAACGGUGCACAGUCAGGGAGAAAACAAUUUUAUCUUGAAAUUUUAGUGAGGGGUCACCUUAUAAUGCUAUCGUCGUUCUAAGCAAGAUAAGGUGCAUAAAAGGAUAAACAUCACAUGCAAAUCAUAAGUGACAUGAUAUGGCCAUGAUCUUGUGCUUCUUGAUCUCCAUCACCAAAGCACCGGCAUGAUCUUCAUCGUUACCAGCGCCACACCAUGAUCUCCAUCAUUGUGCCUCCAUCGAGGUUGUCGUUCUAUCUAUGCUAUUACUACUAAAGCUACUACCUAGCAAUAUAGUAAACGCAUCUGCAAGCACAAAUGUUAGUUUAAAGACAACCCUAUGGCUCCUGCCGGUUGCCAUAGCAUCGACGUGCAAGUCGAUAUUUAACUACUACAACAUGAUCAUCUCAUACAUACAAUAUAUCAUAUCAUGUCUUUGGCCAUAUCACAUCACAUGCAUACCCUGCAAAAACAAGUUAGACAUCCUCUAAUUUGUUGUUGCAUGUUUUACGUGGCCGCUAUGGGUAUCUAGUAUGACCGCAUCUUCCUUACGUAAAGCCACAAUGGUGAUAUGCAAAUUGCUAUUUAACCUUCUCCAAGGACCGCCUCCGUCAAAUCCGAUUCAACUAAAGUUUAAGAAAUAGACACCCGCCAGUCAUCUUUAUGCAACAAGUUGCAUGUUAGUCGAUGAAACCGGUCUCUCGUAAGCGUACGAGUAAGGUUGGUCCGGGUCGCUUCAAUCCAACAAUACCGCCAAAUCGAGGAAAGUCUAAGGAGGGCAUCAAAUAGAACAUCAACACCCACAAACUCUUUUGUGUUCUACUCAACAUAUCAUCUAUGCAUGAACCUAGCUCAUGAUGCUACUGUUGGGGAACAUUGCAUGGGAAACAAAAAAAUUCCUACGCACAAAAAGACCUAUCAUGGUGAUGAUCAUCUAUGAGAGGGAGAUCGGAUCUACAUACCCUUGUAGAUCGCUAAGUGGGAAGCAUUAAGAAACGCGGUUGAUGUAGUGGAACACUUCGCGAUCCAAAUCGCCGCCGUCCCACGAUCUGUCUCGAUCUAGUACCGAACGGACGGCACCUCCACGCUCAGCACACAUACAGCUCGAUGACGAUCUCUUCCUUCUUGAUCCAGCAAGAGAGACGGGGAAGUAGAUGAGUUCUCCGGCAGCGUGACGGCGCAGCAGUGGUGGUCGUGAUCUAUUCCUGCACGGCUUCGCCUAAGCAUGGCAGAAAUCCGAUCUAGAAGAAGAACUACAAAGUAGAGGUUUAGGGUUGUACAUGGCAAAGUUGUGUCUCAAAAACCCUAAACCCUCUAGUAUAUAUAGGAGGAGGGAGAGGCUAGCAUUAAAGCUCAAGGAGAGCCUCCUGGCUUCGGCCGAAGUGGAGGAGGGUGGAGUCCUACUCCAAUCCCACUAGGAUUAGGACUCCUCCCUAAAUUGCCCACUUCGUUUGGAUUUCCACCUUUGUCCUUAUGGGCUUUCCAUGGAUGACUUGUCAGCCCACCAAGCCUUAUUUCACAUCUAAUAAACUCAUGUGGACCCCUUGGGGCGUGGUGGGCCCACUAGGUGGGCCCUGCUACUGCAACAAAAGACCUUCCCCGGCAACGGCGCUAGAAACCUUCUACUGCUUGGCUAUGCCUAUAGGGAUUUCCUUGGCAAAUAUGCAAAGGAUUCCCCCGCGGCCUUGGAGCCUUGCCUUGGUGUUCCCUUGAAGAGGAAAGGGUGAUGUAGCACAGCGGCGGAAAGUAUUUCCCUCAGUUUGAGAACCAAGGUAUCAAUCCAGUAGGAGGAUCGCGUCAAGUCACAAGUACCUACACAAACACAAAGAGCUUGGACCCAACGCUAUGAAGGGGUUGUCAAUCCCUUAUAGAUUGUUUGCAAAGUGAGAACUGAAAGCAAAAACUAAACAAAGCAUAGUAAAAGUAAAAUCUGAGAUGAUAGUUGUGAAUAGACCCGGGGGUCGUAGUGUUCACUAGUGGCUUCUCUUGUGAAAUCAAAUAGACGGUGGGUGAACGAAUUACUGUCGAGCAAUUGAUAGAACCAUGCAAAGUCAUGACGUUAUCUAUGGCAAUGAUCAUAUCUAUAGGCAUCACGUCCAAAACAAGUAGACCGAUACUUUCUGCAUCUACUACUAUUACUCCANNNNNNNNNNGUGUAUUGAGUUCAUAAGAACAGAGUAACGCCUUAAGCAAGAUGACAUGAUGUAGAUGGACAAUCUCAAAUCAAUGAUGAAAGCCCAUCUUGUUACCCUUGAUGGCGACAACAUGAUGCGUGCCUUGCUGCCCCUUCUGUCACUCGGAAAGGUCACCGCACGGUAUGAACCCAAAACCAAGCACUUCUCCCAUUGCAAGAAUCAUAGAUCUAGUUCGCGAAACAAAACCCAAGACUCGGAGAGACUUACAACGAUAUCAAAUCAUGCAUAUAAGAAAUCAGCAAAGACUCAAAUAUAAAUCAUAGAUAAUCUGAUCACAAAUCCACAAUUCAUCGGAUCUCGACAAACACACCCCCAAAGAGGAUUACAUCGGAUAGAUCUCCAUGAAGAUCAUGGAGAACUNNNNNNNNNNAUGUGUUGAGUUCAUAAGAACAGAGUAACGCCUUAAGCAAUAUGACAAGAUGUAGAUGGACAAUCUCAAAUCUAUGAUGAAAGCCCAUCUUGUUACCCUUGAUGGCAACAACACGAUGCGUGCCUUGCUGCCCCUUCUGUCACUCGGAAAGGUCACCGCACGGUAUGAAACCAAAACCAAGCACUUCUCCCAUUGCAAGAAUCAUAGAUCUAGUUGGCCAAACAAAACCCAAGACUCGGAGAGACUUACAAGGAUAUCAAAUCAUGCAUAUAAGAAAUCAGCAAAGACUCAAAUAUAGUUCAUAGAUAAUCUGAUCACAAAUCCACAAUUCGUCGGAUCUCGACAAACACACCGCCAAAGAGGAUUACAUCGGAUAGAUCUCCAUGAAGAUCAUGGAGAACUUCGUAUUGAAGAUCCAAGAGAGAGAAGAAGCCAUCUAGCUACUAACUACGGACUCGUAGGUCUGAAGUGGACUACUCACGAGUCAUUGGAGAGGCAAUGAUGUUGAUGUAGAAGACCUCCAACUCCAAAGUCCCCUCCGGCAGGGCACCGGGAAGGGUCUCCAGAUGAGAUCUCAUAGAAACGGCAGCUUGCGGCGGCGGAAAAGUGGUUUCGUCGACGCCCUGAUUUUUUCUGGGAUUUUGGGGAAUAUAUAGGCCAAAGAGCUAGGGCACGGGAGCGCCUGGGAGGCCACAAGCCUGGUGGCCGCGGGCCCCCCUGGCCGCGGCGACAGGGCUUGUGGGCUCCCUAUGGGCCUCCUGCCUUGGCCCUCAAGUCCCCCGAUCUUCUUCUAUUCUGGAAAAAUUUAUUUCGGGGAUUUUAUUCCGUUUGGACUCCGUUCCAAAAUCUGAUCUGAAAAGAGUCGAAAACACAGAAAAAACAGAAACUGGCACUUGGCAGUUUGCACUGAAUUACUAAGUUGGUCCCAAAAAAGAUAUAAAAGGUAUAUAAAACAUCCAAAGUUGACAAGAUAACANNNNNNNNNNAACCAUCAAAAAUUAUAGAUACAUUUGAGAUGUAUCAAGCAUCCCCAAGCUUAACUCCUGCUCGUCUUCGAGUAGGGAUGUGAUAAAGAAUGAUUUUUUUAUGCUUUCAUGCUACCUAGCAUAUAUGUCCUUUGUAACUCCUCUUAUGUGACGUGAAUGUUCAAAUCCAUUAGAUUCAACACAAUAGUUUGCUAUCGACGUGGAGACAAUAAUACUUCAAGCAAACUAGCAAGGUAAUCAUGAACUUUCAAAAUAACAAGGGCAAAAGAAAGUUAUCCCUACAAAAUCAUAUAGUCUGGCUAUGCUCUAUCAUCCUUGCACAACGAAUUUAAAUCAUGCACAACCUCGGUAUUGGCCAAGUAAUUGUUUUCACACCUUUACUUUCUCAAAAAAUUUGAACUCUCACGCAAUACAUGAGCGUGAUCCAUGGUUUUAGCACUAUAAGUGGAAUGGAGUGUGGUGGAGGUUGCAAGGCAAACAAGGAGAAGAUGGUCACAUUGACUAGGCAUAUCAACGAGCUAUGGAGAUGCUCAUCAAUAGAUAUCAACGUGAAUGAGUAGGGAUUCCCAUACAAAUGAUGCACUAGAGCGAAGAGUAUGUGAAAGCUCUGAAAGAAAACUAGUGGGUGUGCAUCCAACUUGCUUGCUCACGAAGACCUAAGGCAAUUUUGAGUAAGCCCAUCAUUGGAAUAUACAAGCCAAGUUAUAUAAUGAAAAUUUCCCACUAUCUAUAUGGUGGUGACAAAACGAGAGACUCUCAAUCAUGAAGAUCAUGGUGCUUAAUAAGCACAAGUGUGGAAAGAUAGUAGCAUUGUCCCUUCUCUCUUUUUCUCUCAUUUUUUUGGUGGGAUCUUUGGCCUCUUUUAUUUUUGGUGGGUAUCUUUGGCCUCUUUUAUUUCCUCACAUGGGACAAUGCUCCAUCAAAGAUGAUCAUCACACUUACAACUCAAAACUUAGAGCAAUGAUGACUCUAUAAGGAAUGCCUUCGGUAGUGUACCAUGACAAUGAUCUAGCAUUUCAUAGACAUCAAUGGAAACAUCAUGCUAGCUAUCUUAUGAUCAUGCAAUGGCAAUGUAGAAGUGGUGGCACAUGUCAUGGUGGUAGUUGCAUGGCAAUAUAUUUCGGAAUGGCUUUGAAAAAGGCAUAGUAGGUAGGUAUGGUGGCUGUUUUGAGGGAGGCUAAUGGUGGGUUUUAUGCACCUGCGAAAGUUGCACGGCACUAAAGAAGAUAGUGGUAGUGGAAGGUGAAAGUGCAUCUAAACCAUGGACUCAACAUUAGUCAUGAAGAACUCAUAUACUUGUUGCAAAAGUUUUAGUAGUAAUCGAAACAAAGCAUUCAACGCAUACUCCUAGGGGAAGGGUUGGUAGGUAUAAACCAUCGCGCGAUCCCGACCGCUACACAAAGGAUGACAAUCAAUAAACUAAUCAUGCUCAGACUUCAUCACAUAGCGUUUCACCAUACGUGCAUUCUACGGGAAUCACUAACUUCAACAAAAGUAUUUCUAGAUCCACAACACCUUACUAAUAUAACUUCAAUAUUACCACAACCACAACUCAAAACUAAUUGAGAUGAAUCAAACUUCUCUAACUAUUCAAUGCACAUGAAGGUGGAAGUUUUCAUAUCCCUUUGGAUAACUGCCCAUUUUGAGACUACUUUCAUAGCAUAGAUCAACUAACACGCCACGCUCUUCCGUGCUCUAAAAGAUAGAAGUGAAACACACAGAGCAAAAUCAACUAGCUCAAAAGAUAUAAGUGAAACACAUGUGAGCUGAAUUGCCUAAUCAAAGGAUAUAAGUGAAGCUCGACAAAAUCACGGUGAGUGCAUGUCUCUCUCUCUAGGUGUGCAGCAAGGAAGAUUGUGACACAACAAAAAUAAAAGACUCCUACGAUACAAGACGCUCCAAGAAAAACACAUAACAUGUGGUGAAUAAAAAUAUAGCCCCAAGUAACGUUACCGAUGGAUUGAAGACGAAAGAGGGGAUGCCUUCCCGGGGCAUCCCCAAGCUUAGGCUUUUUCGGCAUCCUUGAAUCAACUUGGGGUGCCUUGGGCAUCCCCAAGCUUGAGCUCUUGCCACUCUUUAUCUCUUUGUCCAUAAGAACUUCACCCAAAACUUGAAAAAUUCACAACACGAAACUCAAACAGAAACUCGUGAUAUCAUUAGUAUAAGAAAGCAAAUCACCACUUCCUUAGGUACUGUAGCAAACCUAAAUUAUACUUAUGUUGAUGUUGGGUUAGUGUAUUUUCAAUCUUCCAUGGCUAAUACCCCCCGAUACUAUCCAUAGUUUCAUCAAAAUAAACAACCAACUCAACAAAAACAGAAUCUAUUAACAGCAGACCAGUCUGUAUCAAUCUGUAUACUUCGUGUACUUCUGGAACUUCAAAAAUUCUGCAAAAUUACUAUAGUCUGAAGAAUUUGCGUAUCAAUCAGCAGCAAGAAGAAUCAACUCAAAAGCUCUUACAAAAAAAAUGAAAGUUCAUUUCGUGAGCAGAAAGUUUCUGUCUUUUCCAGCAUGACCAAACGAUCAUCCCCAAGACUAAUCAUAACGGUUUCACUUGGCACAAACGCAAAAAAGAAACACAACAAACACAAUCAUAAAAGAAUUAUGAAAGUGUGGAACACAAGACAGAAAGAAAAAGGAUAUAUUCGUUGGGUUGCCUCCCAUCAAGCGCUAUUGGUUAACGCCCUUAGCUAGGCAUUGAUAAUUCAAUGAUGCUCACACAAAAGACAAGAAUUGUGGCACAACGAGAGCAUCAUAAAGCAUGUGAAGACCACAUAUAAGUCUAACAUACUUCCUAUGCAUAGGCAUUUUAUAGGAAAACAGAUUGUCAAGACAACCAAGAAUUAUCAUAUGCAAAGAAGAAGAAAGAGACAAUAGCAAUCUCCACAUAACGAGAGGUAAUUGGGUAACAUGAAAGUUUCUACCACAAUAUUUUCCUCUCUCAUAGCAAUUACAUGUGGGAUCAAAAUCAAAUUCAACAAUAUAGCUAUCACAAAGGAUAUUCUUUUCAUGAUCCACAUGCAUGCAAAGUUGACGCUCUUCAAAAAUAGUGGGAUUAUCAUCAAGUAAAGUCAUGACUUCUCCAAACCCACUUUCAAUACUAUUGCAAAUAUCAUACUCAUCAUGUGGCUUAAACAAAUUUUCAAGAUCAUAAGAAAAAACAUCACCCCAAUCAUGAUCAUUGCAACAAGUAGGGGACAUAACAAAACUAGCAUCCCCAAGUGUUGGGGAUAUUACCUGUUAAUGACCCGCCCUAGUUGGGCCGGGUUACCAAUUAGGCGAUUCAACCAAACAAUUAUUCGGGCCUUGUCCUGGCGGGAUCAAGGUCAUAUGACGGUUUAUGAUUCCUGGAAGGUCUCCACGCUUCGGAAGAUGGUGACUUAGAGACCACAGGGGUCACGAUUUGUAGGAAGGAAAGUAUCCUUGUAAACCCUAGGGAUUCGACCUGUAUAUAAAGGCGAGUCCCAGGGUAGGAGAGGAUAGGUUAGAAAUCAUCGAGUGCUAGGUUCGGCGAGCUACGCCCUCCUUGUAAUCGAAACCACAUCAAUACAAACCAAAGCAGGACGUAGGCCUUUACCUCCUCACGAGGGGCCGAACGUGGGUAAAUCGCUGUGUCUCUCCCGCUCAACCCCUUUGAGUCGCCACCAAGGUGCGAUGGCUCCAGUACUAAGUCCUUUCACGAGGACAUCUGCCGUGACAAAACCACGACAGUUGGCGCCCACCGUGGGGCCUACGCACGGUGGAGUUGAGUUCUCAAAGUGAGCCCUACCAGGGUUUGGGAGUUACGCGAUGGGGCUCAUGACUAGGAGCCGCUGCGGGAUAACCUACAUCGACAACCAGCAAUGGGGACCUGAAGUGGAUUCGAUUGAAUCUAGUUACAGGGUCCCCUUCGGCAAGAUCAACAUCUUCAUCGGCAUGAUUGGAUCAUCCACGCCUGAGCCGGACAUCUCCACCGACAUCGUCGAGACGGCCAGGUACGUCCGCCCAGUAAUAACGCCAAAUCUGACUCGCCCGGUCUUUGUGGGGUUCACGCAGGGAUCAGAGGAGCCAGAGCGCUCGGCGACUCAGGAAACUACACCGGUCAACUCUGAUGACGAAUCAUCCAUGGGCGACUCAGAUUCAAUCCGGUCUCUGCAUGGGGAUUGUCUUGGGGGCUUGCCGCUGGCCAUGGACCCUAAAGUACUCGACCGAACCCGCCGCCAGAUCGCCAUCUACAUGGCAGGAGCGACUCAGCCCACACAAAACCCUACUGGAGGCGAUGGAACCGGCGAGACAUCUAGGAGCGCAGCCGCAGCCCUCGUGGAUUUAGCGGCGGAGAUCACAAGGCUAAUGGUGACUCCCCUCACACCAGAAAACCAGGAGGAGAUAAACACUGAACUGGCGGAACUCAGAGAGGCAGUGGCAAAGGCUCAUCGGGACGCCGAGAUAGAUUCCGCUAGGAUUGAGACUCGGCAAGCUCAAAUUACGGCCAAAAGGAUGCGUUUAAACACUGACAACUGGCGAUUCGAGAGACAGCAGCGCGCGUCCGACGCCGUCCAUCAGCGGAGACACCAGGGUCGCCUGCCCCAUGAUCUCAAUCCGACCCGCCUGUUCGACACUCCACGAACCCCUGGGGCGGGAGCCGCCCCGGGGGGAGGACCGGGCCGCCCGCCUAACCCGCCGGCUCAGCCGGUUGAAGAUCACAUUCCCCGAUUCCGGACGCCUCAAGGCCACUUUUCCAACCCGGUGGAUAACGUGCUUGCCGCAACUCGCCAUCUGGAGUCUCUUCCGAUUCACGGCAACACCCCUGCCGAGAUAGAAGCAAGGAACGCCAUCGAGAUGUUGAAGACGGCGGUGGUUCAAAACGCCCAGUUCUCACAUAGCCUCGAGAGGUUGCAUUCCACCCCCCAAGCAAGUUACACCAGGAGUCGGCCAGAGGACCAGCCCGCUGUAAACAGCGGGCUGCGACACAUCCCACAGGACAACCCGCCUGAACCGAACCCGCCGGGGACCUCCCAAACGUCCAAAAUGCCCCGGCCCCCCUCGUCGGGGGCGGAGGGCGAGUAGGAGUACCAUGCUUGGCCCUCGCCCUUCGUAACUAAAGGAUGCCCAAGGACUUUAAGGGGCCAAGAAAGGUGCCUAAUUACACCCCGGACCUUGAGCCGACAUCAUGGAUCGAGAGUUAUGAGAUCGCCAUGGACAUGCUCGAUGUGAACGAGGCGGUUUGCGCCAGAUACUUCACAAUUAUGCUCGAGGGGUCAGCACGUACUUGGUUGAAAAACCUACCUCCCAACUCCAUCCAGACCUGGGCCGAGUUAAAAGAGUGUUUCAUCAAAAACUUCCGAGGAACUUGCAAACGUCCGAUGACGAUCGUCAAUCUACAGCACUGUGUUCAGUGCCCGGAUGAGUUGGCCCACCAUUGGUCACGGCGGGUUGCAGAAAUUAUCCAUUCGUCAGAUGGUAUUACGGCGGCUCAAGCUGUGCUCAUCCUCGAGCAUAAUUGCCAUUACGAACCCUUGGUGCAAAAAUUGGGGCGACUCAAGCGAAAGGUCCAAGACAUGGGAGAACUGAUGGACACCCUCACUAGAUACGCUGAGGCCGAUGAUACCAAAGAUCCUGGCGAGGAUGGUAAGGCUAAUUCGCCUAAGAAGGGCGAGUCAUCCAAAAAUCAUACCCAGUUCAAGGGGCGUAACCGUCACAAUCAAGGGACCAAUGGCAAGCGGAGACCGCAGGAGGAGCCCUCGGACUUAGUCGCCAAUACCAACGCCAACAACGGCAAGAAGAAGAAUCGGGGGUUCAGCGGGAAGAGGCCGCGUAACUACGAAGAGCUACUCAAAGGCCCUUGCCCGCACCACGCCACGGCAGACGGUCCGACGACUCACUCUUGAGAAAACUGCUUCGUGAUGCGAGAGUUUCGGGCGGAGGCAAUCAAGAAGAGUCAAAACGAUGACCCAGACCAGCGCCAGGAGCAAUUCACCGCACCCAACCAAAGACAGAACCCUUUCGGCGGCUUUCCCGGACAGGGGGCUUAGGGAGGCCCGCAGCCAGGCAGCGGCCAAUACCCGGUGCACCACCAGCGGCGGUAUAACCCGCCAGGAGAUUUCCAGCAGCCACCCCCACACGGGGCUCCGCAGGGUCACGACGAUAAUGGGGGCUUCCGCAGCAACCCCAAACAGUUAAGUAAUGGACAGUAUCAUGUUUUCACCACUAAUGCUUGCAGGCGUGAUAAGAAGGUGAGUCACCGGGCGUACAGUGUAUCUGAACCUGCGCUUCCCAGAUAUCUCCGUUGGUCUGAGCAAACCAUAACAUGGAGCAGGGAGGAUCACCCGCCGAGAGUUGAUAAUCCGGGCGAUCUGGCAUUGGUCGUGGCUCCCCAAGUUGGGGGUUACACCCUAUCAAAAGUGCUAAUGGAUGGUGGCAGCAGCAUCAAUAUCCUAUACUUUGACACUUUCCAAAGGAUGAACCUAUUGGAAAAAGACCUGAUGCCUUCAACCACGGUUUUCCACGGAAUCGUCCCAGGCAAGUCGGCUUAUCCCAUCGGCCGGGUCAGGCUCGCAGUGGCAUUUGGAACUGCGCAGAAUUAUAGGUCCGAGUCAUUGAUCUUCAAGGUGGUCAAAUUGAAAAGCCCCUAUCAUGCGCUGUUUGGGCGGCCGGCUUAUGCCCGCUUCAUGGCUCGCUCGUGCUAUGUCUACCUCAAGCUCAAAAUGCCUGGUCCCAAAGGACCCAUCACGGUUGAUGGAGAUAGAAGGAUUGCAAAGGAAUGUGAAGAAGGGGACGCGGCUUAUGCGGAAGUCGCCUGUGCUGCGGAAGAGCUCAAGCACCAUCGGGCCAAUGUUGACCCGGCGGACAUGUCACCCCUAAAGAAGCCAACUACAGAUUCUGAGUCGCCCCUGAAGUUCAAACCAACAGAUGACACUAAGACCAUCGAUUUCGUGCCUGGCGAUUCAUCCAAGCAGUUCACCAUUGGGACGGGUCUGGACCCUAAAUAGGAAAGCGCGCUCAUCGAAUCCAUCCGUGAGAGUCGGGACAUCUUUGCAUGGAAACCUUCUGACAUGCCUGGUGUGCCGAGAGAAUUCGCUAAGCACCAUCUUAAUGUUGACCCAAAGUGCAAACCCAUCCAGCAGUACCUUCGCAGAUUUAACGAGGAGCGACACAAGGCGAUUGUGGAGGAAGUUGCCCGUCUUUUAGCCGCCGGGUUCAUCGUGGAAGUUUUUCACCCCAAGUGGCUGGCUAACCCAGUUUUGGUACUCAAGAAGAAUGGUACUUCUCGUAUGUGUAUUGACUACAAAGACCUCAACAGAGCUUGUCCAAAAGAUCCCUUCGCUCUUCCCCGCAUCGACCAAAUCAUUGACUCGGUGGCGGGAUGCGAACGAUUGUGCUUUCUGGACGCCUAUUCAGGAUAUCACCAAAUCAAGAUGGUCGUGGAGUAUCAAGAGAAAACAGCCUUUAUAACCCCCUUCGGGGCCUUUUGUUAUGUGUCCAUGCCCUUUGGACUCAAGAGUGCGGGGCGACUUAUCAACGCUGCAUCCAGAAUUGCCUCCGUAACCAAAUUGGUCGCAACGUCCAUGCCUAUGUCGACGAUAUUUUGAUCAAGACCCGCCAGGGGGAGACGCUACUGGAGGAUCUCAAGGAAACGUUCGAUAAUCUACGGGUAUAUCAGAUGAAGCUAAAUCCCACCAAGUGCGUUUUUGGCGUGCCUGCAGGGAAAUUGCUGGGUUUCCUGGUAUCGGAGCGCGACAUUGAAGCUAACCCGGACAAGAUCGAAGCGGUUACAUCCCUUGGAAAGCCGGCGAACGUUAAUCAAGUUCAACGACUGGCGGGUCGCAUUGCGGCCCUAAGUCGUUUUGUGAGUCGCCUGGAGGAGAAGGCGAUCCCUCUUUAUCAAUUAUUGAGGAAAUCCGAUCGGUUUGUCUGGACAAAUGAGGCAGACGAGGCGCUCGAAGUCCUGAAACGCCAAUUGGUUAACCCGCCGGUCCUGGCCGCCCCAACUGAAAAGGAGCCCAAGCUUUUGUAUAUCGCAGCAAAUUCCAAAGCAGUAAGUGUGGCACUGGUCGUUGAGAGAAAGGAGGAAGGGAAGGAAUACCCAGUGCAAUGCCCGGUAUAUUUUAUCAGCGAGGUGCUAACUCUUUCCAAGCAGCGGUACCCACACCGGCAGAAGUUCGUGUAUGGGGUGUUUAUGGCGAGUCAAAAACAUAAGCAUUAUUUCCAAUAACACCCUAUCACUGUGGUUAGCUCUGCCCCCCUUGGGGAUAUCAUCCAGAAUCGGGAGGCAACCGGGCGGAUCGCCAAGUGGGCGAUAGAACUUGGGCCCCAUCACAUACAGUAUACCCCCCGCACAGCCAUCAAGUCCCAGGCCUUAGUUGAUUUCGUCAACGACUGGACGGAGUUACAGGCUCCGGAAGAUCGGCCUGAUCUCACUUACUGGACUAUUUAUUUUUGAUGGGUCUAGGCAGCUGGAAGGCUCGGGGGCUGGGGUGGUGUUGGUAUCCCCUCAAGGAGAUAAAUUUUGUUACAUUCUCCGACUCAUGUUUCCGUGCACUAACAAUGCGGCGGAAUAUGAAUCUUUGCUUCACGGCUUGCGACUCGCCAAGGAGGUGAAUCUAACACGAGUCAGAUGCUUUGGUGACUCUGAUUUGGUGGCAUAGCAAGUUUCAGGUACCUGGGACUCUCAGGACCCCAUGAUGGCGGCUUAUAGAGGAGCUGUGUCUGAUGUGGCGGGUCAUUUUCAUGGUUAUCAGGUGGACCACAUCGAUCGGCGCCUCAACGAGGCAGCUGGCGCCCUCUCACGACUUGGCUCCCAGAGAAGGCCAGUUCCUCCCAAUGGUUUUCUAGAUAUCUUUCAUAAACCAUCCGUGAUUCUGACAUCAUAGGAGGAAUUAGCAAUACCAGAUCCUGAGUCUCAGCUUGUGGCGGCUCUCCAUGUCACGCCGGAUUGGGUUCUUCCUUAUCUGGCUUAUCUCACUCGGGGCGAGUUACCGGCAGACGAAGUUUUGGCUCGUCAAAUCGUUCGGCGCAGCAAAUCCAUGGUCAUCAUCAAUGGCGAGUUAUACAAGCGGAGCGCCUCUGGAGUUUUUCAGCGAUGUGUUUCCUCCGAAGAAGGAUGCAUAAUCUUAAAUGACAUUCAUUCCAGAGACUGUGGGCAUCACACCGGGUCACGUUCUUUGGUAUCACAGGCUUUCCGUCAUGGUUUCUUUUGGCUGACGGCUCAUGCAGAUGCAGAAGAUAUAGUUCGUCGGUGCGAAGGGUGCCAGCGUUAUGGGCGGCAGGCUCAUGUGCCGGCUCAAGAAUUAAGAAUGAUCCCCAUCACUUGGCCUUUUGCAAUCUGGGGGCUGGACAUGGUCGGCCCCUUUAAAAUGUCCUCUAACAAGAAGACCCACCUGUUGGUGGCGGUUGAUAAGUUCACCAAGUGGGUUGAGGCGGAACCUAUUGGAGCUUGCGAUGCGGAAACAGCGGUCAAAUUCUUGAAAAAGCUGAUUUUCCGGUUUGGAUAUCCGCAUAGUAUCAUUACUGAUAAUGGUACUAACUUGUCCCAAGGGGCGAUGCAGGAGUUUUGCCGUCGAGAACAUAUCCAACUUGAUGUUCCUGCAGUCGCUCACCCACAAUCUAAUGGGCAGGCAGAGCGGGUGAAUCAGGAGGUUUUGCGAGGGAUUAAGCCCCGACUCAUGGUUCCCCUGGAAAAAACCCCUGGGUGUUGGGUUGAAGAAUUACCUUCAGUACUGUGGAGUAUUCGGACUACCCCGAACCGAUCCACGGGUUUACCCCUUUCUUUCUGGUCUACAGAGCAGAGGUUGUUCUUCCUACUAAUAUAAGGCAUGACUCACCUAGAGUCGCCGCAUAUGUGGAACAAGACAAUGAGGUGGAGCGUCAAGACUCUUUGGACGCCUUAGAGGAGGCACGUGACCUGGCUGCGGCCCGUUCAGCUAUCUACCAGCAGGAUCUGCGGCGUUAUCACAACCGUCGGGUUAAAAGUCGGACCUUUCAGGAAGGCGACUUGGUUCUUCGGUUGAUACAAGAUCGUGCAGGCAUGCACAAGUUGUCACCACCUUGGGAAGGGCCGUUCGUCGUCAGCAAGAACCUCCGCAAUAGCUCUUAUUAUUUGGUGGACUCCGGCCUAACCGGCCAACCACGGAGGCUGAACCAACUCGCCCCUGGAAUAUUGCCCACCUGCGGCCUUAUUACACUUGAGCUCUUAAGCUCUACAUUUUGUAAGUUUUUCAGUUUCAUUAUGAAGUAAUAAAGUUACAGAUUCUCCCUGGCUUGGGGGCUUCUUCAUUAAAGAGCAAUUGUGUCAUCCUGUUGCGACCUUAUGAGCCGACAGAAUCAUGCAUUUUAGGGUGUGUGCUCGAGCUUUCUGACUCGCCUCAUCCUGUCGCGACCUUAUGAGCCGACGAAACCUGCAUUCUAGGGUGUGUGCUCGAGCUUUCUGACUCGCCUCAUCCUGUCGCGACCUUAUGAGCCGACGAAACCUGCAUUAUAGGGUGUGUCCUCGAGCUUUCUGACUCGCCUCAUCCUGUCGUGACCUUAUGAGCCAACGAAACCUGCAUUCUAGGGUGUGUGCUCGAGCUUUCUGACUCGCCUCAUCCUGUCGCGACCUUAUGAGCCGACGAAACCUGCAUUCUAGGGUGUGUGCUCGAGGUUUCUGACUCGCUUCAUCCUGUCGCGACCUUAUGAGCCGACGAAAUCUGCAUUAUAGGGUGUGUGCUCGAGCUUUCUGACUCGCCUCAUCCUGUCGCGACCUUAUGAGCCGACAAAACCUGCAUUAUAGGGUGUGUGCUCGAGCUUUCUGACUCGCCUCAUCCUGUNNNNNNNNNNAAACCUGCGUUUUAGGGUGGCGCUUGAGCUUUUUGACUCGCCCCAUCCUGUCGCGACCUUAUGAGCCGACGAAACCUGCAUUAUAGGGUGUGCUCGAGCUUUCUAACUCGUCUCAUCCUGUCGCGACCUUAUGAGCCGACGAAACCUGCAUUCUAGGGUNNNNNNNNNNUGAGCCAACGAAACCUGCAUUAUAGGGUGUGUGCUCGAGCUUUCUGACUCGCCCCAUCCUGUCGCGACCUUAUGAGCCGACGGAAUUGCUGUUUUUAUUUUUGGCAUAGCCUUGAGGGUUUUUAACCUUUCUUUCUGAUUCCUCUUGAAAAUAUUUGUUAUCAUUUGCUUGGUUUCACAUAUGUUGUUUUCAAAGCUUAAGUCUGGAUGAUGAUCAGAAUUACUUCGUCCAUGGCGGUUUAAGCAUCAUGAAGGAUUCUCAAAUGGCAGGUCAAAUAUUUCAAAUCGCCUUAAGGGCGAUAUAAAGAUUCUUUUGAAGAGUAUCACAAAAACAGUAUCGACUUAUGAAACAGAUCUAUUACAUGGCUCUUAGGCCAAAUCGAUGAGGUUUAUUCUAUUGGCGCCUUGGGAUCAUUUUGCUGCGAGCUUUGGCCGACCUCAAUUUGCAAGUCGCCAAGUACCCAGUUGCACUUAGCCAGAGCUGCGAAGUCAUCUUCAUCAGUCAGGAUUGAUGCCAGGUCUGCUUCCAAGUCAAAAGGGUUCUUGGGUCACCGAGGAGUUAAGCUGGUCGACACGAAGGUUGGCGGGUUGACCUUCUUAUUUUUGUUGUCAUAAGCCGCCUGAUACUUUGAUAAAUCAAGACUUGCUGCAAGUUGGGUUGCUGCCAGUCGGGAGUCCUUGACAACACGUUGAUAGUCCUCUUCAACGAAUUCUGACCCGUCGUCUUUAAGUUGAGGAAAGCCUGCCGCUACCUCUUCCGGGUUGAUCUCUGGAGCAUACGCCAAGCAGCGACUCAAGGCGGUCAGAACACCCUUUCGGGCGGCUGACCGAGCUAGCUCACCAACCUGAGGGGGAAGUGUGGAUAGGGAGCCAAGCACUUUCUUUAUGGAAGUUAUAGGCUCUUUGGCACCCAUCACAGCUUUAACAGUUAAUACACUGUCGGUGUACAGUUGCUCUGUCAGCGUGUAAAUCGCCUUUAGCAUCAGCACACAAUCUUCCUGAAGGUUGGCGGCUCUCGGACGUGAGUAAGGCGUCAUAAUAAUCAGCGACUUAAGAUAAGAGUUAGUUAAAAAGAAAAAAAGGGGGGGAGAAAAGACCAAAAGUUUGAGUAAGUUUACCAAAGACGGCUUGCGUCAUGUUUGAGAUAUGACGCUUUAAGCCGGACAAUUCUUGUUGCACAGUAGCCAGCCUGGCUUCAGCCUUCUCUACUCUUUUUAUGGCAGCAUCCUGGUCAGCUUGAGUUCUUUUCAAAUCAGCUUUGAGUUUUUCCAGUUCAGCCAGGGCCAAUUGAUAUUUCUCCUCCGACUUAGCUCGGGCAUCUUGCUGACCAGAUAAGUUCUUUUUUAAAUCGCCAAGCGCCGGUUCAGUCUCAGCAAGAGUUUCCUGUUGGAAAUACAAAAAAGGGGCAAGUCUCAGAACUAUUUCAAGCAAUAUCCAUGACACUUGGGGGCUUCUUUUCAGAUGAAAUUAUACAAUAUCAAGACCCGGCUCAUCUUUUUACUGAUGACCCGGCCCUUGGGGUUUACUGGUCGCAAAGUUUUUUCUAAAUUUUUCAAGACCCGGUUCAUCUUUUUACUGAUGACCCGGCCCUUGGGGGUUACUGGUCGCAAAGUUUUUCUAAAUUCUUCAAGACCCGGCGCAUCUUUUUAUGGAUGACUCGUCCCUUGGGGGUUAAUGGGAAUAAUACAGUAUAACAAAACUUACUUCAUGUUUGUUUUUUAACAUCCGCAGCAGGCUUUUCUCCAUCUCAUAGCUCGCCUCCAGGCGACUUGAGAAACCAGAGCAGAGUUCCUUGAACUCCAGAUUUUCAUAUUCAGAAAGCUUCGCCUUGGAGAGUCCAGAUUCGGGAAGGGCUUGAGAGGAGGAGGCCACAUGCCUUGACAAAAUCGUCACCGCCGGCUUUGAGAAGCCGGUACCAGUAAUAACUACAGCAUCCGGGUCUUGUGUUGUCAUCAAUGGACUUGGCGACUUAAGGGCAUCCAUUGCUUCCUUGGGCGAGUCUGGAAGAUCCAUUUGAUUUUCAGGCUCGCCUUGGUCCGGGUUGUACUGAAUCGGCAUUGAUUCUUUGAUGGGAUGUGAAGUUGGGAUAGGAGUUGAUCCGCUGGUUUUCCUUUUCUUGGCCUGUGCCCUAAAAGAAGGGAGAAGCGCAUUAAGGAACCGGAAGUUUAUUACCCUCAGAAUUCAAAGUAAGAUUAUCUAAAGACUUACCCAGGAACUCGAAUCAUUGGCAGAAGUGUCGACAUUACUGAGUCGCCAGAUGUAGGAGGAGAGUUCUGCAAGAAUUAUACGUCAAAUAUAUAGGCAGGUUACAUAUGUGAUCCAAAGAAACAUGAAGAAUUGUUAUUCAUAAGUACCUCAUUUGGUUUCCUUUUGUUUGUUGCUGGUAAGCCGGACACCAGAUCACCAGAAUGACUUCGGGUCUUCCGAUUUGAAGUAUGUUGUGUUUUCUUCAGUAGGAAAUUUGGGUCCAAAUAAGCAUUUGGGUGUGAGAAGGGAACUUUCCCACAAACUCGCCUGGCCGACUUAGGUGGAGAAGGAGAUGAAUCAGAGGAAACAUAAAUUACCUCAACAGAGUCCUCCUGGCUUUCGUUGUCCUCAUUCUAUUUCAAGAGAGACAGAGAUAUAAAUAUAAAGAUUAACAGUAGUGGAUGGCAAGUGAAAAGAGGAUGAACUUUUACCUCCGAAAGUGCAUCGCUGACUUGAGAUUCAUCGACUUCGGAUGGUUCAGCCGCAGCGGCUUUGCCCUUACCCUUGGUUUUCUCUGAAGGCGGCUUAACAUUUUUCAUGGCUGGCCUUUUGGGCUUCCUGGACCAAAACUUAUCGCCUUUCUGAAAUAGCAUAUGUUACAAAAACCACAAUACAAAUGAAGCAUAAGAAGUAAACACCAAAGGCGGGUUAGAUUUGUUCACCUUGGGUGCCGGUUAAUUUUGCAGAAAGGCUUGAGGCCGAUUUGGCCGCAUUUUCCCGUAGGCUCGCCAGUCAGCUUCUUGAUAAUGGUGACGAUGUCCUUUUCUGUUAAAGCCGUAUGGAAAUAACAUUGAGGAUGAUCUAGGGUGCCAUCAAAUUCGCACAUCAGACCGUCCCGGCGACUCAGAGGGAGAAUACGCCCUUCGACCCAGCAGCGGAUUAGGUCAACCCCAGUAAGGCCGUUGUUUGUCAAGGAUCUUAACUCGGACAGUACUAGGAUGAAUUCCGAUUCCUCCUCCUCGGUAAGCUUGUCUGGAAGCUUGAAGUUCGUUGGAAGGCGAUUUUUCCUAUAGCCCAGAAGCUUGUUUUUGCCUGCAGGAGAAGUCUCUUGACAGUAGAACCAAGACUCGCCCCAACCUUUGGGAUGGCUGGGCAUGGCGAGUGGGGGAAAUGGGCUAUCCCUGCGGCGCUGGACAUUGACACCGCCGAGUUCCAGGCUGGGGCUGUUGUGAAAUUCCGUUUGGCGAUUCAGAUGGAAAAAGUGCCAGAAUAAGGGGACAGAGGGCUCAAUCCGCAGAUAAGCCUCACAGAACACUUGGAAUUGGCAUAAGUUGCUUCUGGAAUUGGGUCCCAAAUCCUGGAGGCGGACGUUCAUGAAAGCCAUGGCGUCUCUAAGAAACUUCGAUCCGGGCGGCUUAAACCCUCGCUCCAGGUGUUCAACGAAAACGACUAUUUACCCUUCUUUGGGGUUGGGGAGAUCUUCUCCGAACCCGGUACGCCAGUCGAUAACAUUCUAAGGGUCCAAGUUGCCCGUUUUCACAUAGUCUGCUAGUAUGGUGUCAUCGACCUUGGUAGGAAGCCACUCACUUUUGAAGACGGCGCCCAUGCUACAAAGAAGUAAAGUAUGGAUUUAUACACCUUGAACAACUACCGUGAGGGGUGAAAUAAGUUCAUCUAACGCACCAAGUAAUUUGUUCACGGACAAAGAGGGAAACUUGACCCGCCAUAUCAAGAGCCGAGUUGGGUUGCUAUGGCGACUUACAAAGUCUGGUUAUUCUCGGGAGCUACGCUCUAAAGAUGAUGAAUACGUUUGCUCAAAACAUCAAAGUGUGAAGACUACAAACAGCUUUCUGCGAACAGUAGGUAAAUGAUGGAUCUACCACGCAGAUGAAAAAACUUGAGAAAAAUGGCUGGAUGCAGUAACUUAUUACCAGGGCAAGGUGACGCCCUUCGCUUGAUGAAACACUAUUCAAAAAGUUCACGAGUAAAAGCGGAUAAAUAAAGGUACUCGAAGCAUUGGUUAUCUCAUCGACAUUCAUGCUAAUCGGUUUAAGGUAGGCAACACAUGAUCAAGAACAUGGCAGUGACUGGAGCUUCAAGCGGAGAUUGGAUCUAUUCCUAAAAUGGGCGGAGGCCUAACCUGAUGCUUUCGGACGAAAGAGGCUGACGGUGAUGGAGGUUGUUGGAGAAGCACGGAGGUCCCGUCGAGCGAAGAGGUCUUCGGCGGCGGCGGAGUUCGUGGCGAACGGCGAGAUGGUCGACGAUGAUGCGGUGGUCAAUGGCGGUGGAGAGAUCGGCCGCUGUGCGAAGCUUGACGACGGCGAAGGCCUAUGGGCGGCACCGAAGCUUCUCGGGUGAAGGCGCAAAGCACGGUCGGCGACGGAGCUCUCGGGAGGCGAUGAGAUUUCCUCGCUGUGAUAAUGGGGAGGAGAUUGACGAGACUGGUAGGUGGGAAGCACCAGUCCUGUCCCCCCCCGUCUAUUUAUCAGGGCGGGCACUGGAAUCGAGGCGCCGUGAGCGGGAACCGCCGGGGAAUAAAAAGAUUUUCUAUAAAUGCGUUUUGAAGAUUUGGGGAUAACGAUGCACUAAGAUCCGUUGGGAUAUGUCCAGUCUUCCCAAAAAUCGGGGGAUAAGAAGAGGCCAACAAGAAAUGGUUUGGCGACUUAAAGAGUUUUCGGUGCUAGAUGGCGGGUUACAAUUUCUGACGUAUGAAGAAAAAUGAGGAAUGAAUCGCCUUCAACUAAGCGGAAGUAUUGGCAUGAAAAAUAAGUUCAAGUCAAUUUAGGGCCUAAUGUUGGGGAUAUUACCUGUUAAUGACCCGCCCUAGUUGGGACGGGUUACCAAUUAGGCGAUUCACCCAAAUAAUUAUUUGGGCCUUGUCCUGGCCGGCUCAAGGUCAUAUGACGGUUUAUGAUUCCUGGAAGGUCUCCAUGCUUCGAAAGAUGGCGACUUAGAGACCACAGGGGUCACGAUUUGUAGGAAGGAAAGUAUCCUUNNNNNNNNNNNNNNNNNNNNNNNNNNNNNNNNNNNNNNNNNNNNNNNNNNNNNNNNNNNNNNNNNNNNNNNNNNNNNNNNNNNNNNNNNNNNNNNNNNNNUAAUGAUGUGAUCCCGUUAUCAAUGACAUCUAAUGCCCAUGAUCAGGAAACCAUGAUCAUCUAUUGACUAACGAGCUAGCCAACUAGAGGCUUGCUAGGGACACAUUGUGAUCUAUUUAUUCACACAUGUAUCACUGUUUCCUGUUAAUACAAUUAUAGCAUGAACAAUAGACAAUUAUCAUGAACAAGGAAAUAUGAUAAUAACCAUUUUAUUAUUACCUCUAGGGCAUAUUUCCAACAGUGUGCACUCACUAAAUUUGCUUCUUUGAUCCCUUCCACUUUUACCCUUGAGCUCCACUUUCUACCANNNNNNNNNNNNNNNNNNNNNNNNNNNNNNNNNNNNNNNNNNNNNNNNNNNNNNNNNNNNNNNNNNNNNNNNNNNNNNNNNNNNNNNNNNNNNNNNNNNNNNNNNNNNNNNNNNNNNNNNNNNNNNNNNNNNNNNNNNNNNNNNNNNNNNNNNNNNNNNNNNNNNNNNNNNCACUUCUCUUUUUCACCAUUGGCAGCACUGUUUUACCUCUCGUUUCAUACUUCUGCUUAACCCAAGGCUUCCAAGUCUUUCCAGAGCAUCUCUAGCAUGCCAAUGCUUCAUUUGAAACGAAGAGAUGGCAUGCUCAUGUGGAGGAAAUGAGCAGCACAUCCUCAAGUUCAUUUCUGGCUAAAAGGUAGCUUUGUACAGCAAGUGCUAGCUACACAUAUUUGCUUGAGCUGAAUUUUUGCAGAUGUGUAGUCCUUCCAUACCGCAUGCUCCAGGACAUGGUUUCACCUCCCAUCUGUGCAUGUGAAAACCACUUGUAUCAGCCUCUAGUNNNNNNNNNNNNNNNNNNNNNNNNNNNNNNNNNNNNNNNNNNNNNNNNNNNNNNNNNNNNNNNNNNNNNNNNNNNNNNNNNNNNNNNNNNNNNNNNNNNNGUGACCACCACUUUGGCCUGUAGUAGUGGUGCUCUGCACCCUCUUCUCGUUGUGCAGCUCGGUCCCAUCCUUAGCAGCAUGCCCCAGCGCACCAGGAUGCUCCCCCUGACCAGUCCAACCCAUCCCAACGCCUAGAAGCAGCCAAGCCCUCCCUGGCACGCAUGCUCUCACCGUGCACUGGAGCUCCAGAGAGCUCCUGUGCUCUCACUCUCCAUUCCCUCUAUUAUCUCCUCCACCUUGAGCAUUAGCAGCCGGGGCAUCUCUCCUCUCCUCCUGGGAUCCAUCCAGGGUCCCCUCAAGUUCCCCAUUCCCUCCUUCCCUCCUCCUUCUGCCAUGGCCGAAGCCCCACCGGAGGCCUCCUCUCGAGCCGGCCAACCACGGGGACCCCCCUCGCCUCUAGCCCUCCUGGCCGGAAAAGCUCCCCCCCUCGCCUCUAGCUCCCUCCCAUCACCCUAGUGCCGACACCAGAGAAGGUCGACGGCCGAUCCCGCCACCAGUCACGCCACGCCGCGGCGGCUCUCCUCGGCAUGCGAGCGGCACCUGGAUGGGCGCGGCGCUCCACCCUGAGCCCCGGUGGGCAGCCCGCCCGAAGUAGUGGGCUGGAGGCACCAGCAGCCACCGCCAGGCCUCCCCGCGUUCCCCGUCGGGAGCUUGAAGAAGACCUGUCGCCACGGCCCUCCCUUUGGCCAGCCAUCUGGGGCAAGGCAUUGAUGGGUGGGUCCAGGCUCGGGCAAGUGGAGACAACACCGGCAGGAACCGCUUCCGUAAGGCGGAAGCGCAUCAGGCCUAAUACGCCUUCGGCGUAGCCUCUUUCCUCGAGGCUGAGGCAGCUGGGCCGGCCCGAGGCCUAUCCAACGCCCUGAGCGUUAGAUAACCCCGAGGCUAAGCCUUUUCCCUUUUUCUAUUUGGUUAAACUUAUAAAUUCCAUCAUAAAUUCAUACUGACUCCAAAUUACUUGAUUCAAAUUUCUACAUGUUCCUAAAUUCAAGCUCUAUCCACAUAUUGGCCUUGCACAUUUUUCCAAGACAUGUUUCUGUGGUGUUUUGUUUAAAUCCAAUCCUGGAUAAUUUAAACCCUACUUUGUGAAAAUCCUAGAGGUUCCAAUUCAGUUGCAAAUGGAGUGAUUCCAAUUCCUAGGGACAUCUAAAAUCACUCCCUAUUUUUAGNNNNNNNNNNGUUUCUACAGGUUCCUAAAUUCAAGCUCUAUCCACAUAUGCGCCUUGCACAUUUUUCCAAGAAAUGUUCCUGUGGUGUUUUGUUUAAUCCAAUUCUGGAUAAUUUAAACCCACUUUGUGAAAAUCCUAGAGGUUCCAAUUUAGCUCCAAAUUGAGUGAUUCCAAUUCCUAGGGACAUCUAAAAUCACUCCCUAUUUUUAGAACCUUGGUCAACAUUUUGUUCAGGCUUUGUUCUGUUGUAUAAAAUAAAUAUCUUCCUAUUGCUAUUUACUCCACAUUAGGAAACUCCUAGAAUAUUCUUCUCAACUCCAAAUCUAGUGAGACAACUUCCAAAAUAUUUCUAAAAUCAUGCUCUGUUUAUUGAGUGCCUCCACUCAUUUUUAAGAGAAUGAUUUCUGUAGGCUUCUUCAGUAAUCACCUAUUGCUCUUUCCAUCCAUUCAAAAAUCCUUGACAAUUCAAAACUCCUAUGGAAAGCUUCAGGUAUUUUUCUUAUGACCAGAGAGGUCCAAGAAAAAUAAAACUUCUAUAUAUAGAACACUUUUGUUUAUGCUUGCUAUGUGGCUUACCGUAAUUGUUCCUCACGAUAGUUGAUGGGUAGACGGAGUAUUCGGAAUCGGAGCGGAAGACCUCGAAGACCCGGGAAACUUAGCUGACCAAGGCAAGUAGCCCUUUGACCAUGACCGAGCAUAUAUUACUUUGCAUGUUAAAAUAGCAAGUAUUCCCGUUGCAUAUGAUCAUAAGUGCCGGUAAUCAUUUGAUAUGAUUUUACCGAAGGCUCCCCCGGAGCACAUGCAUUGAGCUUGACCCUACCCUUGAGGGUCCUGCUAAUACCAUGUUGACAAGUAAAGAUAGAAGUAGUAACAUCACGAGCAUGUUGUUGUCAUAAAGCAAGAGUUUAUGAAAACCCCGUCGGGUGGCACUAAUGCCCGAGGGUGAUGAUGAGUUAGAAGGUCACUUUUGGUGAAGUGAUGCAGCCGGUAUUAGUGUGAGUAUUGUUUCGGAAAUGGGAGCAGAUUUAUGAUGUGUCGACCGUCCCAAGCCAACCAGUACGACCACGUUACCCCUUAUGGGACGGGGCUAUGUUAAUUACUCUGAUCGGUGCUAGCAAAGAGCCACAUUACUAGUGGCGGGAGUGAUGUGUGGNNNNNNNNNNUCCUACCCUUGAGGGUCCUGCUAAUACCAUGUUGACAAGUAAAGAUAGCAGUAGUAACAUCAUGAGCAUGUUGUUGUCAUAAAGCAAGAGUUUAUGAAAACCCCGUCGGGUGCCACUAAUGCCCAAUGGUAUGUGGUCACUUUUGGUGAAGUCAUGCACCCGGUAUUUGUGUGAGUAUGGUUUCGGAAAUGGGAUUAGAUUUAUGAUGUGUCGACCGUCCCAACCUUACUAGUACGACCAAGUUACCCCUUAUGGGACGGGGCUAUGUUAAUUACUCUGGUCGGUGCUAGCAAAGAGCCACAUUACUAGUGGCGGGAGUGAUGUGUGGNNNNNNNNNNNNNNNNNNNNNNNNNNNNNNNNNNNNNNNNNNNNNNNNNNNNNNNNNNNNNNNNNNNNNNNNNNNNNNNNNNNNNNNNNNNNNNNNNNNNNNNNNNNNNNNNNNNNNNNNNNNNNNNNNNNNNNNNNNNNNNNNNNNNNNNNGAGUCACACCGUUGGUCCCCGCAUGGUUUGUACUGUCCAGAGUUGGUGCUCGUAAGACGUAGAACAUGUGGGCUGGGUACCAAUCGAGUGGACCUCUUUGUCUAGUAUCGUCAGGGGAAAGGCAUUGAUCGGGUACUUACCUCGGGUAUGUGAUAUACCGCGAGUCAUGGAUGACACAGAAGUUUCCCGGAUCUCGUGGGUCCAGCGUACUACCUCUACAGAGUGUAAACUAUUCGAAUAGCCGUGUCCACGGUCAAGGACAGUUGGGUAAUCCUGCUUAAAUUACGUCCAGUUGUUUCUGCAUAAACCAAGUGUGUGUGUGUGAGUGGUGAUGAGAAAGGUGUUGCUUUGAUAGCAAUGAUAUGCCCAAGUUCGGUGACUUGGCAUAUUGGGUGAACCUGGAUGGUUCAGCCCUCGAGAGAUAUAUUGAUAUCUGUAACCUGUUCUUCAAGAGUAAUUCUUUAUCUUGAUGCAUAUUCAUGAUCAUUCCACCGAGAUGAGUUACACUAAAGAUGCAUGAUAUUGUUAUCCUUCGCUUUCAUUGUUCAUGUCAUGGGUGGUUUGCGAGUACAUUCAAAGUACUCGUUGGCUUGCCACUGGUUAUUUCAUUGAGCAGGUACGAAAGAACAGGAUGUGGUGAAGAUUAACUCGGUGAUGUUCCUGCGAGCUAGGACGCUUCCCAGUCAGAAUGCUUGUAGGUUAAGGCUGAUGGCAUGGGUUCACGCUUACAACCAAUAAUUCNNNNNNNNNNNNNNNNNNNNNNNNNNNNNNNNNNNNNNNNNNNNNNNNNNNNNNNNNNNNNNNNNNNNNNNNNNNNNNNNNNNNNNNNNNNNNNNNNNNNAACACGUGUCCACUCGACACCUAUCGACGAGUCUCGGACUCUUGCAACGUGGAGCGGUGGGAAGGAGCUUGCCGGUCUGUGGUUUGCCGGAUCGGAGCCGUGCCGACAUCUUGUGUCUUGAUUUCCAAGAUUUCCGCAAUAUUUCUCGAUGACAUGGGUGGAGGUCUUCUUCGUGGUCUUGAGUGUAGUUGAGGGUCAUCCUCCGACAAACCCUUGCUGGCAGGGAGGCUAUUGUCGUUUGUGCAUAAGUCAAGGAUACGAACACCCGUGUUUAAUACACCAACACCAUGGAUCAUGCCAUUGCAUGCUUUUGAAUGAAAAUGCAAAUCGUGAAAUGAGUACUACGGUUGUUGAAGGUGAAAAUUAGGGUAUAUGACCGAUCACCGUCCGCGUCCGCAGACGUUUGACAACUCAAAUUAACUGUGCGUGGUUAUAGAUGCUUUAAGGCUUUGCUUGGCUGCAAGGUGAAAUAUGCCCUAGGAAACCGAGUCACUCUAAGAGCAUCUCCAACAGCAGCAUCAAAAGACACGUGCGCGGUAAACUAGCACUUUAGCGCGCGCGGGACGGAAACGCGCGCUCCAGCAGAGGCGGGAAAGUAGCGCGCGCUGUAAACGAUUGCGCACACGCGGGAGAAAGCGGGCGGCCGCCUGCUAGAUUUGACGCACGGCUUUCGGCGUGCCUAUAAAUUGCUGCGCUCGCCACGCGCGCUACCCAUCGCCUUCCACACUGUCACGCGCGCUCUGUCGCUUCCUCUCCGCUUCCCCGCCCCGCCACCGCGCCCCCACCGAGCCACCAUGCCGCCGCGCCGCCGUGGAUCUUCGAGCUAUCGCGGCGUCCGCGAGCGCCCCUCCGGCGCCUACUACGUCGAGAUCCGGUUCGGCGACGUCCGCCUCGGCCUCGCCAUGUUCGAGAUCUCGUACGAGCCCGCCCGCGUACGACGCGGCAGCGUGGCGCCUAGGGAGGCCUCACGCGCAAAUGAACUUCCAUGACGUCUACACACGCGAGCAGGCACAAGUCGUCGCCCCUCCGCCUCGUCUGAUAACAAACCAGGCCCGUGAGGACCACCGUCGGCGGCAGCGCCGCCUCCUCAUCGUCGAGGAGGACGAGCGAGCCAUGGUGGAGUGGCGCUGGCGCUACCCGGAGGAUGUCGCCGCCAAGAACGCUUUCUGGAUGGAGAGGACGGCAAAUUGCCGCGCGGAGCGGGAGGACAGGCGUUGGCGCAAGGCACUUGCCAUAUUGCAGUGCGAUCUCGUCAACGCCGGUGGGAAGUCAUUCUUCGGGAUUGACGAUGAACGUUGGGAUGACAUUUGGCUCGAUACCUCGGACACCGAGGAUGAUGAUGAUGAUGAAGACGACUCGGAGUAGGUUCUAGUAGUUGCACCGUUGUUUUUAUCUAGUUGCAUCGUAGUUUUUUAUGUAGUUACACAAUAGUUUUAUGUAUCAUUUUUAUCUAUGAUUGUGAAAUAUAUAUAUGUAUCGUUUAAUCUAUCUAUCUAUGUAUCGUGAGAAAUAUCUAUGUAUAUCUAUGCAUUUUAGCGUAUCUGCUGGAACUAUGCGCGCGCUAAAUUACCGCGGCCGUUGGAGCCAACCCCCUGCCGUGCUAAAGCAGGCUCUCGGCGCGCUGCAAACUGAUUUUUAACGCCGCGCCUUAGGCGGCUGUUGGAGAUGCUCUAACAACCCGAAAUCCUAUCCGAUGCUCUGAUUCUCCAACCACACCGCAAGAACCCUAGUUGCCCAGACCAUCUCCAUGCAAGGAAAGCACACGAGAAAACGAUGGAUGAUUACUCACAUGGGGAAACCCCGUGACACCAAAACCCACCCCCUCCGAAUGGCAAGCCUCAACGUCCUCUCCGUAAACCUGCCCCGUGCGUCCUUCCUAACCGCAACCAACUCAACUCUACUUGCUCCACCCCUGAAAAAAAUAAAAACUCUACUCACCCCCGAAAGGAAAGGAAAGGAAGGACGCAACGCAGGUCACGCCGCAGCUCGCGAGCGAAGCAAGGCACAGAAUCGCGACGCCGACGCCGACCCUCACCCUCCUCUGACACGCCGGCCCCGGGCGUGAGAAACGUGGCCCACGGACAGCCGGGACCCACGGCGCACGCCUCCUAGUUAAGCGGUCUGCCGGUCUCCGCACCCAAAUCCGCUGCACCCGUUUCACACUCACCGCCCUCGGCCUUUCCUCCCCAAUCACACAACACAACCACGCCUCUCUUCCCCGUCUCACUCUUGCCCCCACGCCCCCGCUUCCGCGGCCUUCUCGAACCUUCUUUCCGGCUAGGGUUCCGGCUCCGACGGCGGCGAGGAUGCCCUCUGCCGGGGCCGCGCGGCGGCGGAGGUGAGGCGGCGCGCGUGGUGUGACCGGGACUGGGAUUGGGAUUGCGAUUGGUAUUGGAGGAGGAAGGGUGCCGUGGUGGUCGGGAUGGACCCGGACUUCUCGCGGGCGAGCGGUGGCCCGAGCUUCGAGUUCGCCUUCAACUCGGUCAACUUCUCCGACCGGGUCCUGCGGAUCGAGAUCGUCGCCGGGGACGACGCGCCGGGGGCCAAGGGCGCCGCCGGCGAGGGGUGCUCGUCCAUCGCCGACUGGGCGCGCCACCGCAAGCGCCGCAGGGAGGAUCUCCGCCGCGAGAAAGGUGGGGAAGGUUGGGCCUACGUCUCGCUAUCAUUUCGGUGCGGGGCGAUUCGGGCGUGGGUAGGUUUGAAUUUGGAUUCGUACUGAUUUGACAGCGGGUGGGUGGGGGAUUGGGAAAUGGUGCCAGUACCUGCUUUUCCUGCCGAUUUGUUUUGAUUGCCUGUUGGUGAUUUAUAUAGGUACUAUCAAAAGCCUUACGUUUGGUAUAAGGUGGGAGAAAGAGGGCGAGGCAGCUUUUCCUUUUGAUCCAAGUGAAGUUAUGAUUUAGGUAUCUCAGUUGUUACCACACGGAAAUUUAGCCACAAUAUGAUCUUCUGAGCAACGUGGUGUUCUGGAGAUGGCACUGGUGGGUGGGCGCAAUUUAGGGGAUUUAUCCUGGACUCUAUUUUCAGGAUCUUAUUCGAUUCUCAGUUCUGCAGUAUAAAACUCUGUGACAUUGCUCCUAGUAUGAUCCUGAAUUUACGAAGAGCAUUGUGCACCGGAACCGAACCAGACUCAAGCCCAGUAGAUGCAAUAAGUUCUAUAUAUAAAAUUAUAAAUUAUGGACAGAAGUUAGUUUGGUUAUUUCCUGAUUAAUAGCACGGCCAAAUGUUGUCUAAUGUUUCGUUUAACUGGCCAUGCGCUCGUUUUAAUGGGCUAACGAGAGUUUUGCGCGUUACAAAAUGAUUCUAAGUUUCUAUAUUUGAGAAAAGUAAGCAUGAAAAAGGGUAUAUUAAGAGGAGGGUGGAACAGUAUUAAUGAAGUUAAAAGUUCUUACUCUUAACUAUCUAUACUCCCUCCGUCUGUGCUUAAUAGGCCGGGUCGAAGUGCUGUGACCAAGGCACAACGCGUGUGCUUGCACAGUUUUGAAUCAGCCCUAUUAGAACACGUGGGUUGGCAUUAUUAAUUAGCGAAUCCGUUUUGCCUCCCACAUGUAGCGGCUGGGAAUUUAUCUCCCUCAAUCAGCGGACGGAACGAGCAACAGAAUCUGCGAAAUCUGCACUACUUAAUUACAGAGGGCCUAGUAAGACUGGACGUGGCUUGCUGGUUAUCGGGCCUAAUAAACGCGAACAGAGUAUGUAUUUAAUAUUCUAUUAGCUCCCCUAGGAAGAAGAAGGGCGACGCGCCGUUGCAUCUGCAUCCGACGCCCAAAACAAAUUGACUGACCCUAAUUCAAAAUUCAGUCGACUUACCUGUAGCCACUCCCUUAAUAUUCUAUUAGCUCCCCUUGGAAAGUUCUGAGUACCCAAUAUAUUUUGCCCGCAUUCAACUUCACUCUGCAUUCAACUUCACUCUGAAUGCGUAGUCUAGACUGUUAGAGUACGUGAUGGGCCUGGGCCCGUUAGUCUUAUGGUUUGCUUAGGGGUCAAGUAAGCCUUACUUGGGAGUCAAGUAAACCUCUCUAUAUAUGGAGAGGAGAUGUAUCAAUCUAAUCAGGCAAGAAUUAAGAAGGAAAACCCUUUUCCCUCUUGCCCGGCCGUGGGAAAGGACCUCCACGGCCGGCUCUCUCGCGCCUUCGCAGCUCUCUCUCUCCCGCUCAAACCCUAGCAACCAUAACAUAGACAUUCAUCAUUAAUGCUUGUUCAUGGUUCUCAUAUUGUUAUUAGG
rnacentral:lncRNA from 1 species